rnacentral:rRNA from 1 species
AUUGAACGCUGGCGGCAGGCCUAACACAUGCAAGUCGAACGAGUGGCGGACGGGUGAGUAAUGUCUGGGAAACUGCCCGAUGGCGGGGGAUAACUACUGGAAACGGUAGCUAAUACCGCAUACCAUCAGAUGUGCCCAGAUGGGCUUAGCUAGUUGGUGGGGUAACGGCUCACCAAGGCGACGAUCCCUAGCUGGUCUGAGAGGAUGACCGGCCACACGGGAACUGAGACACGGUCCAGACUCCGACGGGAGGCAGCAGUGGGGAAGUUUGCACAAUGGGGGCAAGCCUGAUGCAGCCAUGCCGCGUGUAUGAAGAAGGCCUUCGGGUUGUAAAGUACUUUCGGCAGGGAGGCGUUACCCGCAGAAGAAGCACCGGCUAACUCCGUGCCAGCAGCCGCGGUAAUAC